AGAGUUUGAUCCUGGCUCAGGAUGAACGCUAGCGGCAGGCUUAAUACAUGCAAGUCGAACGGGAUUCGGGGGUAGCAAUACUUUGAUGAGAGUGGCGCACGGGUGCGUAACGCGUAUGCAACCUACCUUUAACAGGUGAAUAGCCCCGAGAAAUCGGGAUUAAUACACCGUAACAUUGCGCUGUGGCAUCACAGUGCAAUUAAAGAUUUAUCGGUUAAAGAUGGGCAUGCGUGACAUUAGCUAGUUGGUGAGGUAACGGCUCACCAAGGCAACGAUGUCUAGGGGUCCUGAGAGGGUUAUCCCCCACACUGGUACUGAGACACGGACCAGACUCCUACGGGAGGCAGCAGUAAGGAAUAUUGGUCAAUGGGCGCAAGCCUGAACCAGCCAUGCCGCGUGCAGGAAGACGGCCCUAUGGGUUGUAAACUGCUUUUGUCAGGGAAUAAACCUCCGAACGUGUUCGGAGCUGACGGUACCAUAAGAAUAAGCAUCGGCUAACUCCGUG
rnacentral:rRNA from 1 species